GACAGAGGGUGCAAACGUUGUUCGGAAUUACUGGGCGUAAAGCGCGUGUAGGCGGUUCGGAAAGUCGGGUGUGAAAGCCCUGGGCUUAACCUAGGAAUUGCGCUUGAGACUGGAUAGCUUGGAGUGCGGCAGAGGGAGGUGGAAUUCCACGUGUAGCAGUGAAAUGCGUAGAGAUGUGGAGGAACACCGAUGGCGAAGGCAGCCUCCUGGGCCAGCACUGACGCUCAUGCACGAAAGCGUGGGGAGCAAACAGG
rnacentral:rRNA from 1 species